GUACACUCCUGCGGGAGGCAGCAGUGGGGAAUAUUGGACAAUGGGCGCAAGCCUGAUCCAGCCAUGCCGCGUGAGUGAUGAAGGCCCUAGGGUUGUAAAGCUCUUUCACCGGUGAAGAUAAUGACGGUAACCGGAGAAGAAGCCCCGGCUAACUUCGUGCCAGCAGCCGCGGUAAUACGAAGGGGGCUAGCGUUGUUCGGAUUUACUGGGCGUAAAGCGCACGUAGGCGGACUAUUAAGUCAGGGGUGAAAUCCCGGGGCUCAACCCCGGAACUGCCUUUGAUACUGGUAGUCUUGAGUUCGAGAGAGGUGAGUGGAAUUCCGAGUGUAGAGGUGAAAUUCGUAGAUAUUCGGAGGAACACCAGUGGCGAAGGCGGCUCACUGGCGCGAUACUGACGCUGAGGUGCGAAAGCGUGGGGAGCAAACAGGAUUAGAAACCCGGGUAGUCCC
rnacentral:rRNA from 1 species